UUCGCAGUAUAUUCUUGUGAGUUUGCUAUUUUUAUGGUCAAAUCACAGGAGUAUACUGUGAG
rnacentral:pre_miRNA from 1 species